UUCCGGUUGAUCCUGCCGGACCUGACUGCUAUCGGAUUGAUACUAAGCCAUGCGAGUCAUUGUAGUAAUACAAGGCAGACGGCUCAGUAACGCGUAGUCAACCUAACCUAUGGACGGGAAUAACCUCGGGAAACUGAGAAUAAUGCCAGAUAGAACACUAUGCCUGGAAUGGUUUGUGUUCCAAAUGAUUUAUCGCCGUAGGAUGGGACUGCGGCCUAUCAGUUUGUCGGUGAGGUAAUGGCCCACCAAGACUAUUACAGGUACGGGCUCUGAGAGGAGUGGCCCGGAGAUGGGUACUGAGACACGGACCCAGGCCCUAUGGGGCGCAGCAGGCGAGAAAACUUUGCAAUGUGCGAAAGCACGACAAGGUUAAUCCGAGUGGUUUCUGCUAAAGGAACCUUUUGUCGGUCCUAGAAACACCGAUGAAUAAGGGGUGGGCAAGUUCUGGUGUCAGCCGCCGCGGUAAAACCAGCACCUCAAGUGGUCAGGAUGAUUAUUGGGCCUAAAGCAUCCGUAGCCUGCUUUGUUAGUUUUCGGUUAAAUCUGUACGCUCAACGUACAGGCUGCCGGGAAUACUGCAAAGCUAGGGAGUGGGAGAGGUAGACGGUACUCGGUAGGAAGGGGUAAAAUCCUUUGAUCUACUGAUGACCACCUGUGGCGAAGGCGGUCUACCAGAACACGUCCGACGGUGAGGGAUGAAAGCUGGGGGAGCAAACCGGAUUAGAUACCCGGGUAGUCCCAGCUGUAAACCAUGCAAACUCAGUGAUGCAUUGGCUUGUGGCCAAUGCAGUGCUGCAGGGAAGCCGUUAAGUUUGCCGCCUGGGAAGUACGUACGCAAGUAUGAAACUUAAAGGAAUUGGCGGGGGGAGCACCACAAGGGGUGAAGCCUGCGGUUCAAUUGGAUUCAACGCCGGGAAGGGCGAAUUCCAGCACACCCUGGCGGCAGUUUACUAGUGGAUCCCGAGCUCGGUACCCAAGCUUGAUGCAUAGCUUGAGUAUUCUAAACGCGUUCAACUAAAUAGCUGCGUUAUUCAUGCAGACCGCUUUUCGUCGAGAGGAAUGU
rnacentral:rRNA from 1 species